AGGAUGAACGCUGGCGGCGUGCCUAACACAUGCAAGUCGAACGAGAAAGUGGAGCAAUCCAUGAGUAAAGUGGCGCACGGGUGAGUAACACGUGACUAACCUACCCUUGAGUGGGGGAUAACCUAGAGAAAUCUGGGCUAAUACCGCAUAAUACCUUCGGGUCAAAGGAGCAAUUCGCUUAAGGAGGGGGUCGCGGCCGAUUAGUUAGUUGGCGGGGUAAUGGCCCACCAAGACUGUGAUCGGUAUCCGGCCUGAGAGGGCGCACGGACACACUGGAACUGAAACACGGUCCAGACUCCUACGGGAGGCAGCAGUGGGAAUUUUGCGCAAUGGGGGAAACCCUGACGCAGCAACGCCGCGUGGAGGAUGAAGCCCCUUGGGGCGUAAACUCCUUUCGAUCGGGAAGAUAAUGACGGUACCGAGAGAAGAAGCCCCGGCUAACUUCGCGCCAGCAGCCGC
rnacentral:rRNA from 1 species